rnacentral:lncRNA from 1 species
CUUAUUUUGCCAGUUUUAUCACCCUUAACAACACAUACACAUCUAAUGUAACCGAGGCAUAGGUCAACUUGGUCGAAACUUAAAGAUUAUUAUUUA